CCCCGGGGCUCGGCGGCGGGAGCCCGGCGGGCCGGGCCGGGGCUGUAGCAGUCUCGAGUAGCGGUACCUCGCCCCAGGCCGGCCGGUACGGGUGCUACUCCGAGUCGAAUGUGGCUGCAGUGUUAAAGCUGGCUCAACAUCCUUUGUUAUACCUCUACAGAGACAGUUAUAUAGACAGCAGGAGAAAGUAUGACACAGUUCUGCAAGCAAGAAAGAAAAGGCCGGAAGUCCCAGGUCACCUUUUACCCAUAAGAAUAACAGAAGUGGAAGAAAGGUUGAAUGUAGCAGAAAUGACACAAGAAUGGAUUUCAGCAGAGAGCACUGAAGAAGAAUUACCUCUGAACAUAAUAUGCUAGCUAAAAAAAGCACAACUGAUAGCUGCCAAGACCAUUGUGGACCUAAAAUGCUAGCAGUGGUCAAAGCAAAUUAAAUUUUAUUAAGGGACCCUCAUGUAUAAUUUUACCACAGCAGGAUUAUACUACCAGCUCUGCAAAGGGAGAUUUAGUCAAGUAAUUCUCAUUAAGGGGCAAAACCCCUCUGACUUCUGCAGGUACUUUGCCUGAUUAAGCACUGAAGAACAGGCCCUAAGGUUGGCACGGCUGAGCUCUAACCUGUCUGCCUUUAUGCAAGCCACAGCUUCAUAUAUCAGCUCCAGCUCAUGCAGAGGAGUCUUACCAGGCAUUCUAAUCCUAAGGGGAAACAUUUCAUUGCAAUGCACAGUAAUUUGCAUUCUUUCACAAAAUUCUGCUAUUACAUUAUCCAUUUUUCUCUUGAUUAAAAGAGAUCAAGAAGUGCACACUCUCACACUACACAUGCAGGCUUUCCAUACAGGAGGCCUGGAAUCUACAUUCAAAUUCAGACUGGAGGAGAUCUGGCAACUUCUAGCUCUUUAUGGACUUAUGCUGUUCUAAUAACAGUCACAAAUUACUGAUAAUUAUCAAGGAGGGAAGUUACUGUGGUGGGGUUUUGUUGUUGAGUUUCUAAGACAUUCAAGUGUAUCAAGACAUUUCAGAAGUAUCCAGUGCCAAGGAGUUCUUAAGCACCACAAGCCCUGUGAGCUUGUGCAGACGCUUUUGAUUUUGCUCACUGCAGGUCAACCUAUGGUGUUAGUUACUGUCUGGAGCAGAUGGAGCUGAAGCUACAUUGGCACAAGGGAAAUUGCAGAAGGUCCCUGAGAUGCUCCAGGACUGUUAAAUCUACAGAGCAGAGUCUGGGACCUACAUUGGAUGCAUUCAUGCUGUAACACCCAGGAGAUUGUCAGUUUCAUAGGCCAGGUCAGAACUUUUCCCAUCUCUCUGUGUGAAGAUAAAUUAACCUAGAUGCCUGAGGCUGAAGUUGGAACCUAUCCAUGGAACUCUAUGAUUAGUUACUAGCUAAGCCAGUGUUGUGAGAAACAGUUUUCAAGUUAGGCACUGAUAAGUCCUAUGUUGAGGAAUAUAUGCCCUUGUUCAGCUCUGUCCCUAAAUGCCUGGAGAAAGCUGAAUCAAUUCUACCUGAGCCUAGAAACAGAUGUACAAAGGUCAUUCAUAUGUCACAUUUAAUGCCACUAAUAACUUUUGACUUCAGCUCUUCAUGAGUAUACUGAUUCAAAUGCUUACUAUACAUUUCUUUAAGACACAGGAUAAAAUUGCUGCCAGAUUUCAGUUCUAAACAAAAUAAAAUUGUUUACGUUGCUUUUGUAUUUGCUUUCUGUGAUAACUGCCAUAACUACCUUUUCAGUGUAUUACUAAACUCAAUUAGAAAUUCUCACUUGGCAACUAUGUGCUGCAGUAUUUUGCUGAGACUAAUGAACAAAUUUUCAUAAAAUCAGCUUGUGACCAUGUGAUGACUAUUAAAACUUAUAAAACCACUACCAAUUAUCAUGAGGAAAUCAGCAUACUGUGGCAGUGUUAUAGGGUGCAUCAUGAACCAAAGUACUUUUAGCUCAUCAGAGAUUCGCCUGUUCAUGCUGGAGCACAGACCCAAUUUUAAGCAGACAGAUGGGAAUACAAACUUCUAAUAUUCCUUCUCUAGUCUGUACAACAAAUAUGUUUAGAAAAGAGGAAUUACAUUGACCUUGAAAUACUAUUGCAUUGUAUACUGCACUCAAAUUUCUUCUUUUCUAUCAUUUUCUAUCAGUGCUUUUAUAUAAAAGCAAGUUUCUCAUGUGGCUUUUUAAAAAAUAUAAUCAAAUAACUGUCACACAUUGUUAAAUCAGUUUUAUUCCAUGCAAAUUAGCAAUUUUUUAGAAGGCUUUCAUACCUUUCUUUUUUUUGCACCUUAUUAGUAACACAGCUUACUAUUAUCUGCUGCAAUCUUGGAUGCUAAUCCUUCUCUUCAGUAUAUUUUGCUCAUAUAGUUGGUGUAUCUUCUGGCAAUAACUAGACUUGUCCUCUUACUACCCUUUUUCUUUCUUUUUUUUUUUUUUUUUUUUUUUUUGUUAGCAAACUUAGAGAGUUGUAGCCAUGCUGGGGAUCACAGUGGAUCUUCCAGUGAUGUUCAGAGAUGCUGAGACACAUGCCUUAGAGAAAACUAGACAUGACCACAUCAUCUGACUUAAAUGUGUUUUAAUUUUUCAGCAGUUAGAAAUUUUCCUAACACUCAAAUCUUUUUUGUGACUCCUAUUAAUCUCCAUAUGUUUGUUUGCUUGCUUGCUUGUUUGUUUUCUGUUUUAUUCCUUUCAUAUCUGUCUUUUCCACUUGUCUAUUUUGUCUCUUGUAGCAGUCAGCAAGACUAGGAUCCUUCUUUGUUUAGGUGUGUAUAUAUGCAUAUCUUCAUGUGAGCUAUUCACACUGGACUUUCUUAGAGAAAAUAAAUGUCUUUUUUUAGAUUGUGCUUCUCUCACAUAGUCUUCUGAAAAGUUCAAAGCAAACUACACACUGGUCUCCAAAGGAUCUUAUGUUAACUAACAUACAUAUCUACCAUUCAGAUGUCUACAUCUUUAAUGAAAUCUGAUCCUAUGAUGAAGAUAAACAAUAUCAGAAGAAUCAUGUCAUCUUUGAUAAUAAAUCUAGUUUAAUGGAGUCCUGAUUUUGCAUGCAAGUGGAUGCCAUAACAGAAUUAAUAAAAAACAGCAGUAAUUUUAAUGUGUAUUCCUUUAUACUGUUUUGCUUUUUCCAUCCUGCCACAAAAUGCCUGUAACUUAACAGUUAUUUAGUGUUUUUCUACUUUUGAGAUUUCACUGUCCACUGAGUACUGCAACACAGAAAGUAUUGUGCUUAACCUAAUGGCAGUUCAAUGAAGUAAUCCAAUAGCAUACUCUAGGUGCCUACAGAAGCAGUAACAUCCUGGCCAUAAAAAUAAU